rnacentral:rRNA from 1 species
UUGGCCUACGGGGCGCAGCAGUGAGGAAUAUUGGUCAAUGGGCGCGAGCCUGAACCAGCCAAGUCGCGUGAGGGAAGACGGUCCUAUGGAUUGUAAACCUCUUUUGUCGGGGAGCAACGAGGCCACGUGUGGCCGAAGUGAGAGUACCCGAAGAAAAAGCAUCGGCUAACUCCGUGCCAGCAGCCGCGGUAAUACGGAGGAUGCGAGCGUUAUCCGGAUUUAUUGGGUUUAAAGGGUGCGUAGGCGGAACAUUAAGUCAGCGGUAAAAUCGAGGGGCUCAACCCCUUUAAGCCGUUGAAACUGGG